rnacentral:rRNA from 1 species
GAUCCUGGCUCGGAUUGAACGCUGGCGGCAGGCUUAACACAUGCAAGUCGAACGGUAACAUGAAGAAGCUUGCUUCUUUGAUGACGAGUGGCGGACGGGUGAGUAAUGCUUGGGAAUCUAGCUUAUGGAGGGGGAUAACUACGGGAAACUGUAGCUAAUACCGCGUAGAAUCGAGAGAUGAAAGUGUGGGACCUUCGGGCCACAUGCCAUAGGAUGAGCCCAAGUGGGAUUAGGUAGUUGG